rnacentral:tRNA from 1 species
UAUAUUUUAGUGUACGAAGCACAAAAGUUUUUGAUACUUUAAGGAAUAGUUUAAUUCUGUUAAAUAUAA